UAUAAUUGUUGUCAAGUAUCU
rnacentral:piRNA from 1 species